CAAUGUCCGAGGUUUGUU
rnacentral:sRNA from 1 species